UAAGCCUGCGAAGGUGUCUCGUGAGGGAUGCUGGAGGUAUCAGAAGUGCGAAUGCUGACAUAAGUAACGAUAAUGCGGGUGAAAAACCCGCACGCCGGAAGACCAAGGGUUCCUGUCCAACGUUAAUCGGGGCAGGGUGAGUCGACCCCUAAGGCGAGGCCGAAAGGCGUAGUCGAUGGGAAACAGGUUAAUAUUCCUGUACUUGGUGUUACUGCGAAGGGGGGACGGAGAAGGCUAUGUUGGCCGGGCGACGGUUGUCCCGGUUUAAGCGUGUAGGUGUGUGUUCCAGGUAAAUCCGGUUCACUUUAACACUGAGGCGUGAUGACGAGGCACUACGGUGCUGAAGCAACAAAUGCCCUGCUUCCAGGAAAAGCCUCUAAGCAUCAGGUAACAUCAAAUCGUACCCCAAACCGACACAGGUGGUCAGGUAGAGAAUACCAAGGCGCUUGAGAGAACUCGGGUGAAGGAACUAGGCAAAAUGGUGCCGUAACUUCGGGAGAAGGCACGCUGAUAUGUAGGUGAAGUGGUUUACCCAUGGAGCUGAAAUCAGUCGAAGAUACCAGCUGGCUGCAACUGUUUAUUAAAAACACAGCACUGUGCAAACACGAAAGUGGACGUAUACGGUGUGACGCCUGCCCGGUGCCGGAAGGUUAAUUGAUGGGGUUAUCCGUAAGGAGAAGCUCUUGAUCGAAGCCCCGGUAAACGGCGGCCGUAACUAUAACGGUCCUAAGGUAGCGAAAUUCCUUGUCGGGUAAGUUCCGACCUGCACGAAUGGCGUAAUGAUGGCCAGGCUGUCUCCACCCGAGACUCAGUGAAAUUGAACUCGCUGUGAAGAUGCAGUGUACCCGCGGCAAGACGGAAAGACCCCGUGAACCUUUACUAUAGCUUGACACUGAACACUGGUCCUUGAUGUGCAGGAUAGGUGGGAGGCUUUGAAGCGCGGACGCCAGUUCGUGUGGAGCCAUCCUUGAAAUACCACCCUUUAAUGGCUGGUGUUCUAACGUAGACCCGUGAUCCGGGUUGCGGACAGUGUCUGGUGGGUAGUUUGACUGGGGCGGUCUCCUCCUAAAGAGUAACGGAGGAGCACGAAGGUUAGCUAAUCCUGGUCGGACAUCAGGAGGUUAGUGCAAAGGCAUAAGCUAGCUUGACUGCGAGCGUGACGGCGCGAGCAGGUGCGAAAGCAGGUC
rnacentral:rRNA from 1 species